AUGUCUCUUGUGCUCAGUGAGUCCAAGGCACCUGCUCCUGUAGGAGCAAGUUUGGGAGCUUCUCGGGACUACACCCAGAGCCUGGAGAAAGAAACCGCAGGCGGGUCAGGAGGCAUGGAGAGGAAACUGGCAGCCCUGCUGGGGCUUUUGUGGGUGCAAGCUUGCUGCGUGAGAGGGGAACAGGUGGAACAGAGCCCUUCAACCCUGAGUCUCCAGGAGGGAGCAAACAUAACACUCAGGUGCAAUGUUUCUACCACCACGAAUGUGAUGCAUUGGUUCCGGCAAAACCCAAGAGGCGGCCUUGUCAGUCUGUUCUUCAUGUCUCCAGGGACAAAGCAAGCUGGAAGGCUGCAGUCAACAUUUAAUUUCAAAGAACGUUCUGGCACCCUACACAUAGCAAAAGCAUCCAAGCCAGGAGACUCUGGCUUCUACCUCUGUGCGGUAGACGCACAGUGCUCAUUGCUCACCUACAGCCUGGUUCCAAACUGCAGCUGGGACUGAGCCACAGCCACUGCCUCAGGGGAGUCACCCUGCAGCAUGCACGGCUUUGGGUUUCCACAUUAACACUGCACCGCUGUUAUUUUCGCUAACAUCAGACUUUUUACUGCAGACAAAUCCUUUGAUUGUAUUUUUAUAUUUUCAGUCUUGGAAUCCAUAACAAAUAUGAUGGAAAGAUCCUUCAUGGCACUGAGUGUCAGUCACUCUGAAUAGGUGAUUACAUAUGUGAUCUAAGUACUGAAAUUAUUUCUUCACUUUGCUUGGGAGUAAACUGAGGACUCUAGAGCAGAAAGCCCGGUUCUGAGCUCAUGUGGUUGCUAACUAGUGAAGCCACAGAGGAUGCCCCACUUGGGGUGUUUGGCACCAGGGCUUGUGCCCUGAGCUGGCCAGAGGAGGGGACUCCACAAUGCAAAUGAUGUGCAUUGAUGAUCUGUAAUAAGUGUUCAUACACGUCAUGGACUAUAAUUUGCUUUUUAGUGUUUUCUAAACAGCACCCUUUAUUAAAGAGCUUCUUGAACUUCUCCUUUUCUGGUGCAAACAUUGACUGAUCUUGCUUAUGUUUUGAGUAACUGUGUUACUCCAGAUGUUCUACUAUUUAUGUUAUGGUAAGAUGAGCAGAAAACUUCACAACAACAUGUUGACAAGCAAAGCCAAGGUUUUUAUAUGUGCAUCCAGCCUUGCAAGGACUUUUAUGGGAAUGUACAGGAUUUCCUGCAAAAGAUUGUGACCCUGAGAACUAGGAAGAGGGCAGUUGGGCAGCUCCAGGGGAGCUGGGAGCAAGCAUAGCCUCUUGGGUGGUGGCCUGUGAGGUCUGCAGGCUUGGCCCUAUAUGGACAACUAUACGGAUCCCGGAA